rnacentral:rRNA from 1 species
GACGAACGCUGGCGGCGUGCUUAACACAUGCAAGUCGAACGGAAAGGCCCUGCUUUUGUGGGGUGCUCGAGUGGCGAACGGGUGAGUAACACGUGAGUAACCUGCCCUUGACUUUGGGAUAACUUCAGGAAACUGGGGCUAAUACCGGAUAGGAGCUCCUGCUGCAUGGUGGGGGUUGGAAAGUUUCGGCGGUGGGGGCUGGACUCGCGGCUUAUCAGCUUGUUGGUGGGGUAGUGGCUUACCAAGGCUUUGACGGGUAGCCGGCCUGAGAGGGUGACCGGCCACAUUGGGACUGCGAUACGGACCAGACUCCUACGGGAGGCAGCAGUGGGGAAUAUUGCACAAUGGGCGGAAGCCUGAUGCAGCAACGCCGCGUGCGGGAUGACGGCCUUCGGGUUGUAAACCGCUUUCGCCUGUGACGAAGCGUGAGUGACGGUAAUGGGUAAAGAAGCACCGGCUAACUACGUG